rnacentral:tRNA from 1 species
GACCCCGUAGCUCAGCUGGAUAGAGCGUCCCCCUCCUAAGGGGAAGGUCGCCCGUUCGAAUCGGGCCGGGGUCGCCA